rnacentral:rRNA from 1 species
GAUGAACGCUAGCGGGAGGCCUAACACAUGCAAGCCGAGCGGUAGAGUUUCUUCGGAAACUUGAGAGCGGCGCACGGGUGCGUAACACGUGUGCAACCUACCUUUAUCUGGGGGAUAGCCUUUCGAAAGGAAGAUUAAUACCCCAUAAUAUGAUGAUUGGCAUCAAUUAUUAUUGAAAACUCCGGUGGAUAGAGAUGGGCACGCGCAAGAUUAGAUAGUUGGUGAGGUAACGGCUCACCAAGUCAAUGAUCUUUAGGGGUCCUGAGAGGGAGAUCCCCCACACUGGUACUGAGACACGGACCAGACUCCUACGGGAGGCAGCAGUGAGGAAUAUUGGACAAUGGGUGAGAGCCUGAUCCAGCCAUCCCGCGUGAAGGAUGACGGUCCUAUGGAUUGUAAACUUCUUUUGUACAGGGAUAAACCUACCCUCGUGAGGGUAGCUGAAGGUACUGUACGAAUAAGCACCGGCUAACUCCGUG